GCGGCGGCGGCGUUGCGAGGCGGCGGCUGUGGGCCCGAGUGGCGCCCGAGCUGCAGGGCCGGACUGAGCCAUGGCUCGCGGGGGACGGUGGCUCCCGAGGCCGAAGGGAGCCCUCGCCUGGGAUGCUCGGGUGCAGGGGGAGAACCGCAGGAUUCGGGGAGAGGCGGCUCGGAAAGCCACUUGAGCCAAACCUGACGUCUGUGCCAGUGACUCUGCCGGGGAACUGCUGAUGUCGGACCAACAGUCAGUCUUCGGAGAACGUUGUCAGUGAGGGGCCGCUGUCCAUCCAAAGUCCAUUUUGCUGUGAAGUUACUGCUGUGACCCAUUUCUAGCUACAGCCAAAGGAUACACUUAUGAAAAGGGUGAUUUGGAAAACAUGGUUUUGUGGACCUGGAAAGAGAAAAGCAUUUCGAGUCAAGGCGAAGUGUUGGUUUUUUAAUGUGUGAUGGCGGGCACACUAGUGCACAAUUUCCCCAAGUCCCCUUGAUCACUUAUUUGGAAAUAAAAAUAGAUAACUAUAAUAAAA